rnacentral:rRNA from 1 species
UACGGAGGGGGCUAGCGUUGUUCGGAAAUACUGGGCGUAAAGCGCACGUAGGCGGCGCAGCAAGUCAGGGGUGAAAUCCCGGGGCUCAACCCCGGAACUGCCUCUGAAACUGCAGUGCUAGAAUCUUGGAGAGGCGAGUGGAAUUCCGAGUGUAGAGGUGAAAUUCGUAGAUAUUCGGAAGAACACCAGUGGCGAAGGCGGCUCACUGGCCCGAUACUGACGCUGAGGCACGAAAGCGUGGGGAGCAAACAGGA